rnacentral:rRNA from 1 species
GGGUGAGUAACACGUGGGUGAUCUGCCCUGCACUUCGGGAUAAGCUUGGGAAACUGGGUCUAAUACCGGAUAGGAGCCAUCUUUAGUGUGGUGGUUGGAAAGUUUUUCGGUGUAGGAUGAGCCCGCGGCCUAUCAGCUUGUUGGUGGGGUAAUGGCCUACCAAGGCGGCGACGGGUAGCCGGCCUGAGAGGGUGUACGGCCACAUUGGGACUGAGAUACGGCCCAG